AGUGAACGCUGGCGGUAGGCCUAACACAUGCAAGUCGAACGGCAGCACAGUAAGAGCUUGCUCUUACGGGUGGCGAGUGGCGGACGGGUGAGGAAUACAUCGGAAUCUACUUUUUCGUGGGGGAUAACGUAGGGAAACUUACGCUAAUACCGCAUACGACCUACGGGUGAAAGCAGGGGAUCUUCGGACCUUGCGCGAUUGAAUGAGCCGAUGUCGGAUUAGCUAGUUGGCGGGGUAAAGGCCCACCAAGGCGACGAUCCGUAGCUGGUCUGAGAGGAUGAUCAGCCACACUGGAACUGAGACACGGUCCAGACUCCUACGGGAGGCAGCAGUGGGGAAUAUUGGACAAUGGGCGCAAGCCUGAUCCAGCCAUACCGCGUGGGUGAAGAAGGCCUUCGGGUUGUAAAGCCCUUUUGUUGGGAAAGAAAAGCAGCAGGUUAAUAUCCCGCUGUUCUGACAGUACCCAAAGAAUAAGCACCGGCUAACUUCGUG
rnacentral:rRNA from 1 species